rnacentral:rRNA from 1 species
GGAUGGGGGGUGGGGUGGGGUGGUAGAGGGCGCUGUGCGCUUUUGUGGUGGUCGGCGCGGCGCCGCCCCUUAAACGGGCCGGCACUACCUCAGCCUCCCCGUCCUGUCCGGCGGCCCGCUCGCCCUGCGCGUGCGCGUGCGGCCGCCCCACCGACUCGGCCCCCGCUACCGCUACCACGGCCACGGCCACGCGCCCCCCAUGUACCACCACGGGUUCGGCCUCGGCCACCUCGAGAAGCCCCGGCCGCCCCCGCCCUACCACCACGCGUUCGGCGGCGGGUCCUUGGCCCUGGCCGUGUGGUUCCAGCUCCCGGCGCCGGCGGCCUAGGCGUACGGCCGGCGGACGCGGCGGUCCUAGAAGGUCGAGUGGGCGCUCGAUCCCGUGUUCAGCCUGCCGCUCUGGCACGCGACCGACGACGUCGUCAGGCUCGGCCGGUAUCAGCGGCGGUGCCCCUGGCCGUGGCACGGGCGGUAGCGGUGGUGGCAGCUGCCGCACGAGGCCUAGGGGUGGGUCAGGAGGAGGAGGCGGAGGAGGCGGCAGCAGCUGCUGCUCCGGAGGCGGUUCGCGGCGGCGUUCGACGUCGGGUGCGCGCGGCGGCCGGGCGAGGGGUGGCACGGCGGGUGGCGGCGGAUGAUGAGGCAGGAGCGGCUGGGGGAGGACGUCCCGCCGCGGCCCCCGCGCCGGUAAAGGCAGCGGUCGCCGGAGCGAGGGUAGCCGCCGGUCGUCCCGGAGCAGGGGCAGAAGCGGCACGGCAGGCGGCGACGCCGGCGGCCUCCGUUGGUGUACUAGGGCGUCCGGUGGCGGCACACCUACCAGGGCGUCGGCCGGCCGCGGGGGUUGGUCGGGUGGGUCAUGACCCGAAAGGUCAGGCGCGGUGUCGAGUAGUUGGAGCGGCCGCGCGUCUGGUACGGCCGACCUCGACAGAAGGGGUUGCAACGGCGGCUGAUGGUAGUUGUCGCCGUCAGACGGAGAUGGCACCAGGUCUUGUGGUUGAGCCUGGUGGUCGUCAAGUCGGUGGUAGAGUGGCCGCGGCUCAGCGUGCUCGUCGUCGCGGCACUGGUGGUGGGCCUCCUCCUGCUGCGGCUACUGCUGCUGCUCGGUCAGAGGCUGAGGUCGGGUCUUCUGAUUGCUUCGUCUCGUUUCGGUGCUUUCGUGAGGUGACGUGCGUGACGUCGGUUUUCAGUUAGGUUUCUUCUUUGGAAUCCAAGAUAAGAUCACUUUAUAAAUAAGAGGCUAAUACAUAAUCAGUCAUUACUAUGGUGACAACGGGGAUGCCUCACAAAAAAACCAUGGUACUGAUGACAACCAACAGGGAUUAAUAAGAACUGGAAGUUAGUUAUUCUUGUGCUUUGUACC